rnacentral:rRNA from 1 species
UUAUCGGAGAGUUUGAUCCUGGCUCAGGACGAACGCUGGCGACGUGCCUAAUACAUGCAAGUCGAGCGGACAGAUGGGAGCUUGCUCCCUGAUGUUAGCGGCGGACGGGUGAGUAACACGUGGGUAACCUGCCUGUAAGACUGGGAUAACUCCGGGAAACCGGGGCUAAUACCGGAUGCUUGUUUGAACCGCAUGGUUCAGACAUAAAAGGUGGCUUCGGCUACCACUUACAGAUGGACCCGCGGCGCAUUAGCUAGUUGGUGAGGUAACGGCUCACCAAGGCGACGAUGCGUAGCCGACCUGAGAGGGUGAUCGGCCACACUGGGACUGAGACACGGCCCAGACUCCUACGGGAGGCAGCAGUAGGGAAUCUUCCGCAAUGGACGAAAGUCUGACGGAGCAACGCCGCGUGAGUGAUGAAGGUUUUCGGAUCGUAAAGCUCUGUUGUUAGGGAAGAACAAGUGCCGUUCAAAUAGGGCGGCACCUUGACGGUACCUAACCAGAAAGCCACGGCUAACUACGUGCCAGCAGCCGCGGUAAUACGUAGGUGGCAAGCGUUGUCCGGAAUUAUUGGGCGUAAAGGGCUCGCAGGCGGUUUCUUAAGUCUGAUGUGAAAGCCCCCGGCUCAACCGGGAGGGUCAUUGGAAACUGGGGAACUUGAGUGCAGAAGAGGAGAGUGGAAUUCCACGUGUAGCGGUGAAAUGCGUAGAGAUGUGGAGGAACACCAGUGGCGAAGGCGACUCUCUGGUCCUGUAAACUGACACGCUGAGGGAGCGAAAGCGUGGGGAGCGAACAGGAUUAGAUACCCUGGUAGUCCACGCCGGUAAACGAUGAGUGCUCAAGUGUUAGGGGGUUUCCGCCCCGUUAGUGCUGCAGCUAACGCAUUAAGCACUCCGCCUGGGGAGUACGGUCGCAAGAAUGAAACUCAAAGGAAUUGACGGGGGCCCGCACAAGCGGUGGGAGCAUGUGGUUUAAUUCGAAGCACAAAACGCGAAGAACCUUACAAAGGUCGUGACCUUCCUCUGUACAAUCCCUAGAGAUAGGACGUCCCCUUCGGGGCAGAGUGACAGGUGUGUUGCAUGGUUGGUCCGUCAGCGUCCGUGUCGUGAGAUGUUGGGUUAAGUCCCGCAACGAGCGCCAACCCUUGAUCUUAGUUCCCAGCAUUCAGCUUGGGCAACUCUAAGGUGACUGCGUGACAAACCGGAGGAAGGUGGGGAUGACGUCAAAUCAUCAUGCCCCUUAUGACUUGGGCUACACACGUGCUACAAUGGGCAGAACAAAGGGCAGCGAAACCGCGAGGUUAAGCCAAUCCCACAAAUCUGUUCUCAGUUCGGAUCGCAGUCUGCAACUCGACUUCGUGAAGCUGGAAUCGCUAGUAAUCGCGGAUCAGCAUGCCGCGGUGAAUACGUUCCCGGGCCUUGUACACACCGGCCCGUCACACCACGAGAGUUUGUAACACCCGAAGUCGGUGAGGUAACCUUUUUGGAGCCAGCCGCCGAAGGUGGGACAGAUGAUUGGGGUGAAGUCGUAACAAGGUAGCCGUAUCGGAAGGUGCGGCUGGAUCACCUCCUUU